rnacentral:rRNA from 1 species
UGCCAGCAGCCGCGGUAAUACGAAGGGACCUAGCGUAGUUCGGAAUUACUGGGCUUAAAGAGUUCGUAGGUGGUUGAAAAAGUUGGUGGUGAAAUCCCAGAGCUUAACUCUGGAACUGCCAUCAAAACUAGUGAUCUAGAAUUUGGUAGGGGUUAGUAGAAUUUCCAGUGUAGAGGUGAAAUUCGUAGAUAUUGGAAAGAAUACCAGUGGCGAAGGCGACUAACUGGGCCAUUUUUGACGCUGAGAUACGAAAGCGUGGGUAGCAAACAGGAUUAGAUA